UAUAUAUUUAAUGUGAAUUAAUUGUAAGAUAUUUUUUAUUUAAAAUAAAUUCUUUUUGGGGUAUAGAAAAUAAAAUAAUUAUAUUAACAAUAAGUUAAUUUAUCUAAAUUUAUUUGAUUUAGUUUUAUUUAUUAAUUUUACGAUAUAAAGUAAAAAAUAUAGAAAUAAAAUUAGAGAUUAUAUGUUAAUCAAAAAUAAUGAUAUAUAUAUAAUAUUUAAAUACAGAAAAUAUAAUUAAAUAUAUUAUAAAUUUAAGGGACAGCUUUAAAUUUAAAUUAAAUAUAAUAGAGACUAAAAAUUGUUAUUUUUUUAUUUUUUUAUUUUAUAUAAUAUAGUUAAAUAUUUUUAAUUAGUAUUUUAUGAGUAAUUAAUAAUUUUAAAUAUAAUUAUUUGAAAUAUUUUGUAAAGAAAUAAAAUUUAAGAGUUAAAAAUUUACUAAAUUAUAAAAUUAUUAAGUUUACUAAAAACUUUAUAUUUAGAUUUUUAUUAAAUAUAAGUGUGAAAAAUAAUAUUACACUAAAAAAUACUUUAAAUGAGUAAAAAAAAUAAGGUUUUAUAAGUAUCUUUGACUAAAAAUUAAAUUACUAAUUUAGUUAAAUAAGCUAAAAUAUUUUAAUAGAACGAAAAGACCCUAGGUAAUUUAGGUUAAUUUUAAUAUAUAAUUUGUUAAGAAAAUCUUAGUUGGGGCAACUGUUAUUUAUAAAUAAACAAUAAAAUUAUAAAAUUUAAAAAAUAUUAUAUUAUUUGAUAAUUAACCCUAGGGAUAACAGCGCAAUAAUUAAUGAGAGUACUUAUUAAAUUAAUUAUUUACGACCUCGAUGUCGGCUUAAUAUAAAUUUUUAAAGCAGAAAUUAAAAUAAUUUUAACUGUUCUUUAAUUAAAAUAUUACAUGAGCUGGGUUUAGAACGGAGUGAUUUAGUUUGGUUUUUUUUCAUUAUAAUUUUAAAUAUUUAGUACGAAAGGAAUUAUAUAUAUUUGUUUUUU
rnacentral:rRNA from 1 species